rnacentral:rRNA from 1 species
AUGGAGCACUUCCUCGACGCCACAAGCCCGGCGCUGCCUGCUACCCUCACCAUCACCAAAGAUGGGAAGGAGGAGCAGGUCGUGAACUACGCCCGCGCGGUCUGGUAUGCCCAACAGCAACAGGUACAAGGUUAUCUGAUGGCUUCACUUUCUCGUGAAGUCCUUGCACAUAUGGUGAAUCUGCAGACGCCGGCUGAAGUAUGGAGGGCGAUCCAUGCUACCUUUGCUGCACAAACCCAGGCGCAAGAGGUGAAUAACAGGAUCGCUCUUGCCAAUCUCCAGAAGGGGAACUCCACCAUGGCGGAGUAUCUUGCCAAGAUCAAAGCACUGGCGGAUGAGAUCGCCACCACCAGUGCGCCAUUGACCCAUCGGGAGAUGACCUCCUAUGUCCUGAAGGGUCUGGACCUCGAGUAUAACUCGGUGGUGUCAGCUCUCGCCGCUCGCGUCAAGCCCAUCACCACCCCGGAGCUCUACAGCCAGCUUCUCAGUUUCGAGGCACGGGUCAACCUACUGCAAGGUAUGAAUAUGCGGCAAUCCUCUGUCAAUACCAUCUCCCGUGGACGCGGCAAUAGCGGCCGAGGUCGCGGUCACCAAGGGCGUGGCCGUGGCAACGGCAACGGAAGUGGGCGC